UACGUAGGCAGCAAGCGUUGUUCGGAGUUACUGGGCGUAAAGGGUGCGUAGGUGGCUCUAUAAGUAUGGUGUGAAAUCUCCCGGCUUAACUGGGAGGGUGCGCCGUAGACUGUGGGGCUAGAGUGUGGGAGAGGAAAGUGGAAUUCCCGGUGUAGCGGUGAAAUGCGCAGAUAUCGGGAGGAACACCAAUGGCGAAGGCAGCUCGCUGGGACGGUACUGACGCUGAGGCGCGAAAGCGUGGGGAGCAAACAGG
rnacentral:rRNA from 1 species